UGGGGAAUAUUGCACAAUGGGGGGAACCCUGAUGCAGCGACGCCGCGUGAAGGAAGACGUAUUUCGGUAUGUAAACUUCUAUCAGCAGGGAAGAAAACAGACGGUACCUGACUAAGAAGCCCCGGCUAACUACGUGCCAGCAGCCGCGGUAAUACGUAGGGGGCAAGCGUUAUCCGGAUUUACUGGGUGUAAAGGGGGCGCAGACGGCCAUGGCAAGCCCGGUGUGAAAGGCAGGGGCAUAACCCCUGGACUGCACUGGGAACUGUCAGGCUGGAGUGCCGGAGGGGUAAGCGGAAUUCCUGGUGUAGCGGUGAAAUGCGUAGAUAUCAGGAGGAACACCGGCGGCGAAGGCGGCUUACUGGACGGCAACUGACGUUGAGGCCCGAAAGCGUGGGGAGCGAACAGG
rnacentral:rRNA from 1 species